UAGUGCGCAAAAUUUGCGAACGCCCAGCUUGCGUAAAAUAUUAAAGUUGCGCAUUUGGAGUUGUGUAAGAGGCAGGGAUAUAAAUAACAAGGCUUCGGAAUUCGUUCCGGUAACCUAAGGCGUUCAAGAGGCAAGAUGAAGACAUUGGUCAUAUCACUACUUCUUUGCGUAUUCUCCUUCGGCCAUAUAUGUUGCCAAUGGCCAGACGAGCGUGGUAUAAUUAUGUCGGUUUAUUGGUACUCAACACAGGAUAAGCUGAAACACUUUACGAGGUUUCCAGGGUACGAAUACAUAAAUAUGUCAAGCGUUGUUGACCUCGCAAAUGGAAUCGGAUUUCAGGAAUCAAGAAUGCGCCUUUACAGUUUGGACGUGGACUACACAGCAAGAUCAGUAUAUGCAUAU